AGAAGAGAACUGCCUGUCAGAUGAGUUUGUGUGGCUGUGUCUCAUUUGGUGCCUGGGAGAUGUGCUGGCUACCAAGGCCUCUUAGCUCUGGCCUGGGAACCAGAUUAGGCCACCUCUGAGCCCAAGUGUGGAGACAGCACAUCUUCCACUCUGAGAGCCAGAAAGGCCAAGAGGCAGAUGUUCUGUGACCCAGAGAGCAGCUUCAGAGGCCACUGCAGCCCCAGGAAUCCUGUGACUCAGAGAGAUCUCAGGCAAACUGGAGACAUCUCAGCAGGUGACCCUAACCCUGCGGCCUCACAAGACAAGGUCUCACUUUGUUGCCCAGGCUGGAGUGCAGUGAUGCCAUGAAGGCUCUUGGGCUAACAUGAUCAUCCUACCUCAGGCUCCCAAGUAACAGACCCACAGGCACCUCAGCUGGAGCCACCUCUGACCUGGGAUGGUGUGUGCCCAAGCUGGGUCUUCCUGCACACAGACAAGCACCCCAGGAACCUGGUGGCCAGUAAGAUGGGUCCCUGCCUCUCUCUUUUCGCCCCUCAGGGUCUGCCCUCCCUGGCUUGCUAGGGCUGCAUCCCAUCCUCUGGCAUCAGACACCAUUUGCAGCAAGUCACCAGGCUUGGCCAAGCAUCUCAGGGCCAGUGCACCAUCCAGGUCUGGCAAAGCCCUACGUGCUCUCCCCAACACACCCUUUCUAACUGCCAGAAUCUUUGUUGUUCUUAAAUCCAGGAAAAGUGUGACUGUUGCAGAGGUCCCCUCUGGGGCCUUUCACUACUCGGAGACUCACUCAGAUGAGAUAGUUACCAGCAGGAAGAUGGAUGCUGUCUUCAGAGCUGCCAAGAAGGACCUCCUGACCCUGAUGAAGCAGCACAUAAGUGCCUCUGACCCCUCCCCACAGUGCUUGCAGCUUCCUUUUCUUUAGGUGCAGUGGUCCAGAUGUGGGGGGUGGCGGCUGCAGGGGCUCUUGGGGCAGAACAGGCUUCAUCUGCCAUUUGGGGUCCCCUUCUGCAAAGCAUGGCUUCCAGUCUCUUCUCCAUUUUUUGUUAGUCUAUUUUUUUGCUCUUGAUGUUUAUAUUUCUUCAUAUUUUCUAGAUAGCAACCCUUAGUUAGCUGUAGGUUGUGUGUGUGAUCUUCUACUCCCGGACCUGCCUCUUUAUGCCUGCUGUAUGCUAUCUGUGGUAGACACAAAUUCCUGAUUAUGAUGUAGUAAAACUUACCAAUCUUUUCCCUUAUGGUUAGUGUAUUUUGUGCCUUAGGAAAUAUUUCCUUGCUCUGAUAUCAUAAAAAUUCAUAAAGAUUCUACAUUAUUUUCUAAAACUUUUAACUUUUUGCUUUCUAGGGUUAAUGUAGAUAGAAUUAGAUUUUGUAUAUGAUGCAGGAAGGCCUUGGAUUACAUGUAUUUUUUCCUUACAGAAACCUAGCUGGCCCAGUGUCCUCCCUGGAAUGUCUGACCUUUUGCACUGGUCUGCUGGUCCUCUGGCCUCAUUCCAGGCUGUUCCAGGCCCCCUCUUCUCUCUUAGCUAUGAGUGGCACCUGCACAUGGCAGUGCAGCUCUGCAGAUGGGCCCACCGUCCUAGGGCUGAUGGCGAAGGAAAGAGAAAGGCUAGCUUUUCUCAUCCUCUCCAGCUCUCUUCCUCACCCUCUCUUAAGGAAGAGGGGUUUCUCUUGAAGUUUUUGUCGUCUGCAACAUGGCACAGUUCAGCAUGGGUCAGCCUUCAGAUCCAAGCUGAGGAUAAAGGAAAAAGGAAAACCAGGUCUUGCCCUGUCCUGGCUAUCCUUGAUGCUAUGACCACUUCCCUGCCUCUGGUCCUCCCACUGCCUAAUGGUUUUUGGAGUACUUUUUUGUUUUUGUUUUUGUUUAUUUUUUGAGACAGAAUCUCAAGCUGUCGCCCUGGGUAGUGUGCCAUGGUGUCACAGCUCACAGCAACCUCAAACUCUUAGGCUCAAGUGGUUCUCUUGCCUUAGCCUUCCAAGUAGCUGGGACUACAGGCACCCACCACAGUACCUGGCAAUUUUUUGUUACAGUUGUUGUUGUUUUAGCUGGCCCGGGCUGGGUUUGAACCCUCCAGCCUUGGUAUAUGUAGCUAGCACCCUACUGACUGAGCUACAGGUGCCACCAGCUUUUGGAGUUCUUUGAUGGUGGCUUUUUUUUUUUUUUUUGGAUGGUGGCUUUUGUAUUCUGCCCAGAGUCAGUAGCUUUGUCUGAAGGAGAGUGGCUGAUGUGGGUAUACUUCCUUUUGCUCCUGACAUUUUCAAAGGACCUUUCACUGGGGAAAGUCCACAGUGAGCAUGUUGGAGUGACACUGACUUGGCAUGUACUCUUGCUGCUGAGUAGUGUCCUUAUCUGUCCUCCUUUGGAAAUAACGCCUCAUUCUGCUGUUUUCAAGAUAUUUUCUUUGGGCUCGGCACCUAUAGCUCAGCAGUUAGGGUGCAGGCCACAUACACCAGGGCUGGCGGGUUCGAGCCCAGCCUGGGCCUGCCAAACAACAAUGACAACUACAACAAGAACAACAAAAUAGCUGGGCGUUGUGGCAAGCACCUAUAGUCCCUGCUGACUGGGAGGCUAAGGCAAGAGAAUCCCUUAAGCCCAGGAGUUGGAGGUUGCUGUGAGCUGUGACGAAAUGGCACUCUACCCAGGGCGACAGCUUGAGACUUUGUCUCAAAAAAAAAAAAAAAAGAUAUUUUCUUUGUCUUCGGUUUUCAGCACUUUCACUAUGAUAGUACCAGUAUUAUAAAGACUCCAUGGCAAACCCAUCAAUGCACUGAAAGUGUAGCCAACAGCAGAAACACCAAGGACUGAGUGAUCUCAUAUUCUGAUCCAAAGCCAGCAUAACCACAGAAACAUCCAGAAAGCCUCCAGAGAUAAGGUAUUCCUCCAAAGAGGAGAAUAAGAGUACCUUCAAUUUCAGAAUAAAGUCCAGACCAGAAGCUGAAAGUACUUUUAUCAAUAGGAUAAAAGAUUUCUCAAAUGUUUCAGAAUCCAUUAUCUGUCCUAACUCUGGUGGUACAUGAGUUGUUUUAUAUAUCCUUCUCCAUGGUCACCCAGUUCUGCCAGCUGGUUCAGCAUGCACCCGGGCCACACCAAUAUCUGUUCCCUCAGAGCGUCCCAGUGGUGUCACAAUGGUACCUGUCCCUUCCGUGUGCCCCUACUCCAACACCCGCCCCCAUCCCACCCUCUCCUGCUGCCGGCAGUGUCUUACCUUUUCUUUUUAUGCUUGAAUGUAGAUGUUUUCAUUUGAGUUUACUAAUUCUCUUUUUAUUUAUUUGUUUAGACAGAAUCUCACUUUGUCACCCUUGGUAGAGUACCGUGGCAUCAUAGCUCACAGCAACCUCAAGGUCUUAGCCUUCCAAGUAGCUAGGACUACAGGCACCCUCCAUAAUGCCCAGCUGUUUUUUAGAGAUGCGGUCUGCUCAGAUGAUCCACUCGCCUCGGCCUCCCAAAGUGCUGGGAUUAUAGACAGAGCCUCAAGCUGUCACCCUGGGUAGAGUGUUGUGGCAUCAUAGCUCAUAGCAACCUCCAACUCCUAGGCUCAAGCUAUUCUCCUACCUCCACCUCCCAAGUAGCUGGGAUUACAGGCACCUGC